rnacentral:rRNA from 1 species
UGGGGAAUAUUGGACAAUGGGCGCAAGCCUGAUCCAGCCAUGCCGCGUGAGUGAUGAAGGCCCUAGGGUUGUAAAGCUCUUUCACCGGUGAAGAUAAUGACGGUAACCGGAGAAGAAGCCCCGGCUAACUUCGUGCCAGCAGCCGCGGUAAUACGAAGGGGGCUAGCGUUGUUCGGAUUUACUGGGCGUAAAGCGCACGUAGGCGGACUUUUAAGUCAGGGGUGAAAUCCCGGGGCUCAACCCCGGAACUGCCUUGGAUACUGGAAGUCUUGAGUAUGGUAGAGGUGAGUGGAAUUCCGAGUGUAGAGGUGAAAUUCGUAGAUAUUCGGAGGAACACCAGUGGCGAAGGCGGCUCGCUGGACCAUUACUGACGCUGAGGUGCGAAAGCGUGGGGAGCAAACAGG